AUUGAACGCUGGCGGCAUGCUUUACACAUGCAAGUCGAACGGUAACAGGCCGCAAGGUGCUGACGAGUGGCGAACGGGUGAGUAAUGCAUCGGAACGUGCCCAGUCGUGGGGGAUAACUAUCCGAAAGGAUAGCUAAUACCGCAUACGAUCUGCGGAUGAAAGCGGGGGACCUUCGGGCCUCGCGCGAUUGGAGCGGCCGAUGUCAGAUUAGGUAGUUGGUGGGGUAAAGGCUCACCAAGCCGACGAUCUGUAGCUGGUCUGAGAGGACGACCAGACACACUGGGACUGAGACACGGCCCAGACUCCUACGGGAGGCGGCAGUGGGGAAUGUUGGACAAUGGGCGCAAGCCUGAUCCAGCAAUGCCGCGUGCAGGAAGAAGGCCUUCGGGUUGUAAACUGCUCUUGUACGGAACGAAACGGUCCUGGUUAAUACCCGGGGCUAAUGACGGUACCGUAAGAAUAAGCACCGGCUAACUACGUGCCAGCAGCCGCAGUAAGAC
rnacentral:rRNA from 1 species